CCUACGGGUGGCAGCAGUGGGGAAUAUUGGGCAAUGGAGGAAACUCUGACCCAGCAACGCCGCGUGAAUGAUGAAGGUCUUCGGAUUGUAAAGUUCUUUUCUAAGGGAAGAAGAAAGUGACGGUACCUUAGGAAUAAGCCUCGGCUAACUACGUGCCAGCAGCCGCGGUAAUACGUAGGAGGCGAGCGUUAUCCGGAAUGACUGGGUUUAAAGGGUGCGUAGGCGGUCCGUUAAGUCAGCGGUAAAAUUGCGGGGCUCAACCCCGUCGAGCCGUUGAAACUGGCAGACUUGAGUUGGCGAGAAGUAUGCGGAAUGCGUGGUGUAGCGGUGAAAUGCAUAGAUAUCACGCAGAACUCCGAUUGCGAAGGCAGCAUACCGGCGCCCGACUGACGCUGAGGCACGAAAGCGUGGGUAUCGAACAGGAUUAGAUACCCUGGUAGUC
rnacentral:rRNA from 1 species